GCUGGGAUAGCUCAGUCAGUAAAGCAUCAGACUCUUAAUCUUAGGGUCACAGGUUCUAGGGCUGGGCGAUAUCUGGUUUUCAACA